CGCAUUAACUUAUCCGCCUCGGAGCUCCCGUCGCAAGAUUAAACCUCCAAUGUAUUCACGGGGGCCUGCACAAGCGGUGGAGCACCUCGUCCAAUUCGAAGCAACGCGCAGAACCUUACCAGCGUUCUACAUGGCUAGUAUGAUUUCCAGAGAUGGAUUUCUUCAGCUCGGCUGGCUAGCACACAGGUGCUGCAUGGCUGUCGUCAGCUCGUGUCGUGAGACUGCUUGGGUUAAGUCCCGCAACGAGCGCAACCCUCGUCUUUAGUUGCCAUCAUUCAGUUGGGCACUCUAAAGAAACCGCCGGUGAUAAGCCGGAGGAAGGUGGGGAUGACGUCAAGUCCUCAUGGCCCUUACACGCUGGGCUACACACGUGCUACAAUGGCGGUGACAGUGAGCAGCUAGAUCGCGAGAUCAUGCUAAUCUCAAAAAGCCGUCUCAGUUCGGAUUGUUCUCUGCAACUCGAGAGCAUGAAGGCGGAAUCGCUAGUAAUCGCGGAUCAGCAUGCCGCGGUGAAUACGUCCCCAGGCGUUGCACUCACCGCC
rnacentral:rRNA from 1 species